rnacentral:rRNA from 1 species
GACGAACGCUGGCGGCGUGCUUAACACAUGCAAGUCGAACGGGUCUGCCCUGUUUUUUGCGGGGUGGGUCAGUGGCGAACGGGUGAGUAACACGUGAGUACCCUGCCCCUCACUUCUGGAUAACCGCUUGAAAGGGUGGCUAAUACGGGGUGUUCUGGCUGUGCCGCAUGGUGUGGCUGGGAAAGAUUCACUUUUGUGGUGUUUUGGUGGGGGAUGGGCUCGCGGCCUAUCAGCUUGUUGGUGGGGUGAUGGCCUGCCAAGGCUUUGACGGGUAGCCGGCCUGAGAGGGUGGGCGGUCACACUGGGACUGAGAUACGGCCCAGACUCCUGCGGGAGGCAGCAGUGGGGGGUAUUGCACAAUGGGCGGAAGCCUGAUGCAGCGACGUCGCGUGAGGGAUGGAGGCCUUCGGGUUGUGAACCUCUUUCGCCGGUGAAGAAGGUCCUGCUCUUUGUGGUGGGGUUGACGGUAGCCGGGUUAUGAAGCGCCGGCUAACUACGUG